rnacentral:rRNA from 1 species
UACGAAGGGGGCUAGCGUUGUUCGGAUUUACUGGGCGUAAAGCGCACGUAGGCGGAUCGUUAAGUCAGGGGUGAAAUCCUGGGGCUCAACCCCAGAACUGCCUUUGAUACUGUCGAUCUCGAGUCCGGAAGAGGUGAGUGGAACUCCUAGUGUAGAGGUGGAAUUCGUAGAUAUUAGGAAGAACACCAGUGGCGAAGGCGGCUCACUGGUCCGGUACUGACGCUGAGGUGCGAAAGCGUGGGGAGCAAACAGG